CUCAAGCUUCAGCCAUACGCGCAGUCUACGGUGGCUAAUCGCCCCUGCCCCAAGCUCGCCUACAAUUUCUCUGGACCGUUCACUGUCCUGCAACGCAUUGGCGCCAUGGCAUACAAGCUCCAGCUACCGGCCAACAGCUGGAUCCACCCAGUUUUCCACGUGUCACAGCUGAAGCCUUUCACGCCGGACUACUCGCCGGUCUUCUCCGAGCUGCCUCACGCGCCGGACCUCACCGCGGCUCCCCUCCAACCCGUGGCCAUCCUGGAUCGACGGAUGGUCAAGAAAGGCAACAGCUCGGUGGUUCAGGUGCGCGUUCAGUGGUCAUCUCUUUCUCCAGCGUCAGCAACCUGGGAGGACUACAACGUGCUGCGCCUUCGCUAUCCUACGGCACCUUGCUGGAAGGACGACGCUGCCGCUCAACGCGGGGCAACUGUCACACCUGAUAGACCUGAUACAAGUGUAUCGGUGGACAUGUAA
rnacentral:rRNA from 1 species